UGGGGAAUAUUGCACAAUGGGGGAAACCCUGAUGCAGCGACGCCGCGUGAACGAAGAAGGUAUUCGUAUCGUAAAGUUCUAUCCUAUGGGAAGAUAAUGACAGUACCAUAGAAGAAAGCUCCGGCUAAAUACGUGCCAGCAGCCGCGGUAAUACGUAUGGAGCGAGCGUUGUCCGGAAUUAUUGGGCGUAAAGGGUACGCAGGCGGUUUAAUAAGUCGAAUGUUAAAGAUCGGGGCUCAACCCCGCAAAGCAUUGGAAACUGAUAAACUUGAGUAGUGGAGAGGAAAGUGGAAUUCCUAGUGUAGUGGUGAAAUACGUAGAUAUUAGGAGGAAUACCUGUAGCGAAGGCGACUUUCUGGACACAAACUGACGCUGAGGUACGAAAGCGUGGGGAGCAAACAGG
rnacentral:rRNA from 1 species